CUUUAAAUACUUAUGGCCGUUAAAACCUGGUGAUGAAACGAUCAGGGCCCUGUUCGUUUCGUAAACUGGAUGAGAAUUCCAGAAGCGGCAUCCGCACGCAGUAAUUGGAUGCAGCAAUCAGAUGUUGUUCGUUCGUGUUUCUGGAAAUUUUGGAUCAUGUGUCUGGAAAUUGUAUUUGGUUGUAGUUAUGUUCGUUUUACAUUUCUGUAUUUUGUAUCUGGAUGAGUUUUAUGUCAAAUGACCAAAAACUCCUUGUCUUCUCUUUUGGUCUAAACAUGUAUAAAACUAUAUUUAAAAUUCAAUUUUCAUGUUUUAACUUGUAAAAAAUUAUGUUUAACUGCAAAUAAAAUAGACAUAAAUAAAAAUAAAUAUCAAAUUCAAUUUUUUAUGGUUUAUAACAUUAUAAAAUAACAAUAAUAAACAUUAAACUCAAAAUUCAAAGUCUUAAAAUAACAAAAUAAAAACUCAAAGUCUUGACUCAAAACAUUCAAAAACUGAAACACUCAAACCUGAAACAUAAACUCUUGACAUAAAAACUCAAGUCUGAACAAUAGUAAACAUAAAGUCUUGGAAAUUUUGUUCAUUGGCGUAAUUUGGCUUUAAUCGGUCUGAUUCCAUGCGUUUUGCAAGUUGUGACUUUAUUCUUCAUUCCAGAGUCCCCUAGAUUGCUGGGAAAAUGGGGACUUGAAAAAGAAUGUAUGAUCUUAUUUAAUGAAGGACCAAAGUCUCGGGUUAUGGAUUUGUUCCAGAGGAGAUAUGCUUCGUCUCUUGUUGUAAGUUACUCUAUAACCUUUUGUGGUGAAUAUGUGAUUUUCGCUAUGGGAAUACACAACUAUAAGCUACUAAAAAUCUUCAAUGUAUCUAAUAACAUGCAACGAAUUCAACAAGACAAGAGGCAGCAUUACUUCAGAACAAAGAAAGUAAGUACUUUUCAAACAGUAAACAACACAAAGACACAGCAAGAGAAAAGAGAACAGAGCUCAACACAAUAAAACUUGUUGGUUAAAUAAAGGCUGUUAUAAACAAA